ACCUGCCCCGAAGCGGGGGAUAACAUUUGGAAACAAGUGCUAAUACCGCAUAAUUAGUUGGAACCGCAUGGUUCCAACUUGAAAGAUGGCUCUGCUAUCACUUUGGGAUGGACCCGCGCCGUAUUAGUUAGUUGGUGAGAUAAAAGCCCACCAAGACGAUGAUACGUAGCCGACCUGAGAGGGUAAUCGGCCACAUUGGGACUGAGACACGGCCCAGACUCCUACGGGAGGCAGCAGUAGGGAAUCUUCCACAAUGGACGAAAGUCUGAUGGAGCAACGCCGCGUGAGUGAUGAAGGUUUUCGGAUCGUAAAACUCUGUUGUUAAAGAAGAACAAGUGUUAGAGUAACUGUUAACACUUUGACGGUAUUUAACCAGAAAGCCACGGCUAACUACGUGCCAGCAGCCGCGGUAAUACGUAGGUGGCAAGCGUUGUCCGGAUUUAUUGGGCGUAAAGCGAGCGCAGGCGGUUUUGUAAGUCUGCUGUGAAAGCCCUCAGCUCAACUGAGGAAGUGCAGUGGAAACUACAAAACUUGAGUACAG
rnacentral:rRNA from 1 species